GAUGAACGCUGGCGGCGUGCCUAAUACAUGCAAGUCGAGCGAACAGAUGAGGAGCUUGCUCCUCUGACGUUAGCGGCGGACGGGUGAGUAACACGUGGAUAACCUACCUAUAAGACUGGGAUAACUACGGGAAACCGGUGCUAAUACCGGAUAAUCUAUUGAACCGCAUGGUUCAAUAGUGAAAGACGGUUUUGCUGUCACUUAUAGAUGGAUCCGCGCCGCAUUAGCUAGUUGGUAAGGUAACGGCUUACCAAGGCAACGAUGCGUAGCCGACCUGAGAGGGUGAUCGGCCACACUGGAACUGAGACACGGUCCAGACUCCUACGGGAGGCAGCAGUAGGGAAUCUUCCGCAAUGGGCGAAAGCCUGACGGAGCAACGCCGCGUGAGUGAUGAAGGUCUUCGGAUCGUAAAACUCUGUUAUUAGGGAAGAACAAAUGUGUAAGUAACUAUGCACGUCUUGACGGUACCUAAUCAGAAAGCCACGGCUAACUACGUG
rnacentral:rRNA from 1 species